CCAGUCUCUGGAGCGAGGUGCUGUGACCCUGUGGCUGGGGUGGAGUGGAGCACAGCGCGCUGCGUGCAGCUGGGAGGCCCGGGCUGUGCGCUGCUCCGCCGCUGCCCUCUUCCUGCGCCGGCGGGUGCGUCGUCUGUCCCCACAGCUGUUCCCGGAGACUGCCAACCUGUUUCCAACACAGCCAGGGCUCUCAAGGUCAAAUUGGUCUUGGAAACACCAGGUCUCCUGGGAUCAAAUCUUUCUGUGCCUUGAAUACUCACAGACAGGAGGAGAUGGUGCGUGGGCCCAUUGUUCAGCUUGGAUGUUCCAGGGAAAGCAGAGUCAGAUUCCUGGCUUCUCUCCAAAUCCAGAGUGAAGAAAAAGGAAUAACUAAAUGGAGUCACAGUUGGUCUUGCUGAAGAGAAUAUGCAUUUUCCUUCAUUUAUUUCUUGGAAUUAACUAUGUUUAGUUCUGAUCUCAUGUGCUUAAAAACAACAACCAAUAAUGCUGCUUUCCAUGGCAUUAGCACAUGUCACAGAAAAAAAAUCUAGAAAAGAACAGUUUUGAAAGCGAUCCCAGUGUCCUAGCAUCUGUGGGUCAAGAUGCUGGCCCACCUGCUGCCAGAGGAGAUCUCCAGCUCCUACACUACCACCACCAUCACAGUGCCUCCCUCCAGGGUCCUGCAGAACAGAGGAGGUUUAUCCUGGAGGAUAAGCUGCUGCGAGAACCUCCAUAGAAGAAAUCACUGCCAAAUGGUGCUGUUUACUUCUGUAGCUCUCUGCUAAAAAUCGAGGUUUUCCUUGAAGACAGUGAUGCUGUUAGAAACCAACAAAAUGCUCAUUGUAAACCAGUCCAAGUUCCCUGAAGGUUGCUUAGCCACAAGGGGGAGGGGCUGGUAGCUGGUGGGGAGAUGUUGACACAGAGAAAAGAGGUCAGACAUGGGGAUGCCCAGACUCCAGCCCUGGACACAGAAGCCACAGGCCCGCUGCAGAAUGUUCCCAGUCCUCAGGUACAUUGAAACUUGUCUGCUGUGUGACUUCAGCCUCCUAGCCUUAAUUAUGCAACCCAUCUGUACCUGUCUGACAACAGCAAUUUGGUGGCAAAAACCAGAGCAAUGACCAGUCUCUAAGGAGACUUUACAGCCAUCUCCUCAACCAAAUGAUACUUGGCAGAAUCCCACCUUACUGGAGCACAGCCUUUGCUUGUUAUCCUAGAUCUAGCCUUUCUCUUUUAACUUGGGGAGACUCACUGAACACACCUCUGGGAUUGAAGCAGCUUUGCCUUGUCCAGUGAGCAUCAGCUCAGCUUUGCUUUCGUAGCUCUGGUUAUCUUGGUAGUUUAAAAGCUGUCACUGAGCUAGCUGUGUGACCAUAGGUGACUUUACUGAGCCUCAGUCCUCUCAAACGGGGAUGAUAAUAGUACUUCCUCAGAGAACUGUUUAAGGAUUGAACGAGAGAAUCCACACAAGCACUAGACACGGUGCGUGGCACAUAGUAAGCAUUUUUGUAAACGUCAGGGGAAGGGAAUAGCUGUGGAAGACAGAAAUCCCUGGGGUGGUCGCUUGGCUUCCACACCUUGUUAGCCCUGACACUUAGCAAGUACGUGAUGCUCAGUAGUUACCACUGUGCUGUUUGACUCUCAUGAUACCUGUCGGGAAAUUCAGAGUGGGCAUUUCCAACAUCACCUGACAAAGAGAAAGCCAAGGCAAUGAGAACUUACAGGCCUUAACCUGAGGGCACACAGCUAGUCAGUCACAGGAAACCUCUUGUGCUGCCCACUCCAGACCAUGGGAUUUCACUUCCGGACUCUACACUAGAAACUAGAGAAUGGAAAACCAAGGAAUAACAAGUGUGGGUGAGCAGUGAAGAGCUGACUCAGCAGGCUUGAGUUGUCCAAACCCCGUAUACUUCAGAGAAAGUCUGGCAUUUGACUGGUUCCUGGGAGAUAACCUCUGAGCCUUUGGAAUAUCCCGACUAAUAAGAGUGCCUUUGUUACCCUGGAGCCUUGGCCACACUCGACAGUCUAUGCUAACAGUGUCAUUUAUGGGGGGGGCCUCAGGCCACCCUGUAUCAGUUUGACCUCUGGAGAGGCUGGAAUCCAAGUAGCUAAGUUCAGUAACGAGGGCAUGAUCUACAUGACUGACCUCAAUGAAAUCUCUGGAUACCAAGGCUUAGGUGAGCUUCCCUGGCUGGCAAUCCUUUGUACUUACUGUCACACACAGUUCCUGGGAGAGUUCAGCACAGUCUGCACUAAUCCACUGGGAGCAGACAAUAGGAAGCUCACCACUGGAGCUCCCCUGGGCUCUGCCCUGUGCACCUGUCUCCUUUCUGAUUUUAAUCUGUAUUCUUUCACUGUAACAAACAUGUAUAUGACAGCUUUUCUGAGUUCUAGGAAUCCCUCUAGUGAGUCAUUGAAUCUGAGGUUGGUCUUGGGCACUCCUGACACAGUGAGCAACUGAGGAUCUGCUGCUGCACCAUGGAGAGGGAGGCCCUGACAUCUGGACUCUGCAAUGACGUUUGGAACCACUUGCUUUUUCUUCAGCAGUGGCCCCCUCCCUUCCUCCUUCCCUGCCAUGCCUAGGCCACUACUGUUGUCCCAGUGUUAGGCUACAAAGAGUAAGUCUGAGAUGCAGCCUUGUUGGGGUGGCUUUCCUAAGAAUGAUUGCUUUUCAAAAGGUGUUGUGCUGGGCUGGGGGAGACAGGAAGCCUGCCUUCCUUCCAGCAUGUUUGGUUUUCCCUCAGUAAAUAGACAAAUUGAAUCUGAGGACAUAUUGUAUUUGAUUGUUGAGUCAAACCCUGACCCAGGAUUGCAAACAUAGUAUUUAUUUCCCUGCUCCUUGUACAGGUUUAGAAGAGGGUCGGGAGGUUCUUACACCACUGGCAUUCUGGCAAGCCAAACCGAGAAGACUUGAGAGCUAACCUGCGACCCCAAACUGUGGGAUUUUCAUCCAUGACUGAUUUUAUUUCUGGGUAGGGUCUAAAAAACAAGCUAAGUUGUCUGUAUGAUCAGGAUCUCAGCAGCAAGUGAGGAGGAGAGUGAGAGUUGGGAAGGGUUGGAGAAGGUGGGAAAGAUGGAGGUCGGGGAGGAAGCUGUAAACCAUGUGCAACCUUGGCAAGUAGCUUCUCAGCCAGCGUGUUGGUUUCAGUUCACAUUGCUACUAAAUAAAA